rnacentral:rRNA from 1 species
GACGAACGCUGGCGGCGUGCCUAAUACAUGCAAGUCGAACGCUUCUUUCCUCCCGAGUGCUUGCACUCAAUUGGAAAGAGGAGUGGCGGACGGGUGAGUAACACGUGGGUAACCUACCCAUCAGAGGGGGAUAACACUUGGAAACAGGUGCUAAUACCGCAUAACAGUUUAUGCCGCAUGGCAUAAGAGUGAAAGGCGCUUUCGGGUGUCGUUGAUGGAUGGACCCGCGGUGCAUUAGCUAGUUGGUGAGGUAACGGCUCACUAAGGCCACGAUGCAUAGCCGACCUGAGAGGGUGAUCGGCCACACUGGGACUGAGACACGGCCCAGACUCCUACGGGAGGCAGCAGUAGGGAAUCUUCGGCAAUGGACGAAAGUCUGACCGAGCAACGCCGCGUGAGUGAAGAAGGUUUUCGGAUCGUAAAACUCUGUUGUUAGAGAAGAACAAGGACGUUAGUAACUGAACGUCCCCUGACGGUAUCUAACCAGAAAGCCACGGCUAACUACGUG